rnacentral:lncRNA from 1 species
CACAGGGAUAGGGAGAAGGUGAUCCACAUUGCAGGGGCCUAAUUACAGGGGGCCCUGAAUGCCAAGCCAAGACUUGGAAAAUUAGAAGGUCUACAAGGACUCCAGAACUCUCCAGGAGUGAUGAAAGAUGGUGUCUUAGCCUGGGUUUCUGCAACAAGCAGAGCCUAGCACAACAUGGUGGUUUACUUUGAAAAGUGAUCCCAAGAAACAGGAGUGAGAGGCUCGGAAGAGUCAAACGGAAAGAGGACAAGCCAACCAAGGCUGUGCCUGGGUGCAUCACGAUUCACCUAAAAAUCACCACUGAAAUCCGCAGCAGGCAAUUGUGCCAGACAACAGGUGAUGACGGGGGCAAACACGACUCAGCUUCUGCCUGCAGCAUCUACAGUCAUGGAAGGAGACCUCCGUGAAAGUGUGGUGUUUGCUGUGAGAGGGAGCAGACGCUCACUGCCAUAGAUCUCAGAGACCACCAAGGCUGAAUAAGCUGAACAACGCAUGCGGAAAGUCCACAGGCCUGCACACCAAUGGCCACAGCCUGUUCUCUCCCUGCAGGUAGGACACUCAUGCGGUACCACCCUUCCUGAGGACACCUUCCUUCCAUUGCCUGGACAGCAGCAUCCUGCCCUGGGCCACCCUCCAUGUGGAUGCCCUUCCCACUUCCCCAGGGCACUGACUCCAAGCGCAAGGUGCCCUUGCAAUAGACACUCUCCUCACCCCUCUAGUUCUGCCAUCCUGCCCUGGGCCACCUUCUGUGUAGACCCCUCCUCACCCCACUGAGGGUCUGAGUCUCCGUGCCAGGACAUCCUCCCUGGACAGGACCCCCUUCGGACCCUGCUUUGGUCUCCGACACAUGCUGGGCUGCCCCCUCCUAUGUUGGCACCCUCCUCGCUCCACAUGGGCAACCUCACACUGGACCACCGCCCUUGUGUGAGCCUCUAUCUCACCCCGGUGGACUCCACCCUCCUGCUCUGGGCACGCUACUUCCUCCCCACUCAGCUACAGAGGCCUGCCUUGCUCUACCUUACCUAAUGGCUUCUGAACAGAAUUUUCUAGAAGGGAGAGGAAGAAGCAUCGAGCUGGUUCUCUUGGCCUGUUCCUGGAUCCCAUCCUUCUCCUUUGUUCCCGGCUCCUCCAUUCUCUAGGAAUCUCAAUCUCUUCCGGCAUUGCUGAGUUCUCAAGCUCUCUACUUUCCACUGAGCCUGUGAGUCCAGCAGGGACUGGGGUUGGGAUGCAGUUUUCAGAGACCUGUGACUACACCUUUGUUACUGGAUAGACUCCUCAGCCCUGGAUCAGCCACAGCCCUCUCCCAGGAAGCCCCUCAACUCUCUGCUAUUACCCUUCUCCAAGGCCUGAAAACAGGACUCUCUCUUCGAGAAGAUCACAGACCCUUGAGAAGAUACAGAAAUUCUCUGCUCGGCCCAAGUCAAAAUAAAAUGACUGAAUAGGCCAGGGCAGCACAGACGAGAGAGGAGUUUUCUCUGGGGCAGUGGUUCUCCAAGUGUAGUCACUGAGCAAGCAGCAGCAGAGUCAGCUGGGAACUUGUGGGACAUACAGAUCCUGGAGCCCCACCCAGACUACUGAAGCAGAACCUCCUGGGGUGGCGCUGGCAAUCUGUGUUUUAAUAAGCCCUCCUCAUUCUGAUGUCCUCUAAAGUGUGAGAACCACAGCUCCAGAAUACUGCAGGGCAGUGACGGGUGGAGGAGAAGGAGUAGGGCUGACUUCUCAGAAGAGUCCCGAAGACCUUGUCCUUGAGUCUGCAGAGAAGUUCACCAGGCAGACAAAGAAAGAAAGAGCAAGCCCAGGCAUACCCACAAGUACCAUCUGAGCUCUGCAUACCUUCUGAUAUAUGUUUAAUAAUCUUGGAAUAACAAUUGUAUUGAUAUUAUGUUGUUUAGAGUAAGUGGCAAUGUAUUCUUUGAAGAGUUAAAACUGUUUUCUGUGUUUAGAAAAGUUCUCACUUGAACUUAAUUUUGUGUUCUAAAUUUAACUAAGGAUUAUUUUUAUACAAACUUUUGAAAGCUUACUAAAUUUAUCUGAUUAACUUGUUAACAGUAGGUAGUUAGGCAGACAUAAGCAGGGCAGACCCCCACCCCCACCCCAGGAACGUCAGACAACCAUCAGGUGAUGGUCAGGAAGUUGUUCCACUGCUCCCUAAAAUAAUAACUGAUCGCACCCAGCACCAGGGAAAGGCAGUCUCCCAAUAGAUAGAAAACA